CUGCCCUGGGCUGGUGGUGUGUCUGUCUGGGACUGCUCUGCAGACUGGUAGGAGUGCCCACUGGAAGGGGCCUUGGGAAUUGAGUUGUCCCCCGGAUCUGCUGAGAGCUGGGAUAUCACCAGCUCUGUCAGGUCGGCGAGGUGGGAGUUUGGGGCAGAAAAGAGGAGUUGUGGUUAACCUGAGAGGAGGGCACUGUGCCAACCUUCUCUGUGCUUCAUCAGACUACACCAUGCUGCUAGGCACCGUGAGGCACAAGGGCUGUAAGUCCAGGAGGUGAAACAGCCUGGUACACACAUAUCACACAUAAGGCAGGACAGAUUUUUCCCAUCUUGCUGUCUGCUCUCCAAGCGCUGGCUCCAGCUGCAUCGUGCCCACACGUGUCAGACCUAUCACCUGGUCUGGGAGGGCUCCUACCCAGCAAGGCAGGAAAUCAAGGGCUCAGCUUCAGCGCAGCAUCGCUGGUCUCUUGCCAAAAAGCAGCAAUCCUGGAGAUCAGCAUACUUACAGUCAAUCUGCAGAGAUGCUGAAGAAGUGGAAGAUGUUUGAAUAAUCAAUAAACUGAAAGAAAUCUAAAUAAGCAUGGGGUUAUCCGUUGGGCUGAAAAACAUGAAAAAAAUUGGAUUGUUGAAAAUUAUCUAUUCUGUUCCAUGUGAGAGUAGUUCUUUUAUGGAUGAAAGGUUCCACUGCCCCAUUAGUUAAAUCAAAGAAAUGUCUUCCUAAAGCCUGCCCUGAUGCUUGCAUUGCAAACAGCAUUUAUGUAAAGGCAUUAAUCUAAGCUGUAAUGGACUCACAGUCCUUAUGUUUGCACCAAGUCUAUAAAUAAUAAUUUAUCGUUUACCUCUAAUUUGCAGACUAUAUUGAAAGUUAUGGAAUUGAAUGUUUUUACAUCAAGCCUGGUGCAUUUCAGCAGUCAGUCCUAAUCUUGAAAUUGAUUAUAAAGUCAAUAUUUGCCCAGCUUUAUUUUGAUCUCUCUAGAACAGCCGGUGGGUGGUGGUUACGUCUGGUGCAUCCUACUUCUAGGAUCCAGCGACUUGAUCCUCACACAAUAGCAACUGAUGUUAAUGCUACUGAUAGCGAGCUCCUGAAACAAAUCCACAGAGCUGUCUCCUGGAAACCCUUAACAUAUUCGUAAUAGGAGUAUUUAUGUAUUUGAAUUAAAAAAAAAAAAAAAGUCUUAACCUUGGGGAGGGGUGGGUUAAGGGAAGAGAGAGAGGUUGUGGUGAUUAAAGAAAGCUCUGUUCAUUUGAGCAAUAUUAAAUACAACUGGCAUAAUGACGACUGUGAGAUCUGAUAGAAUAUAGAGAAGGCUGAAAAUAAAGGGCUUGUAUUUUUCCCUGAUGUAAAA